CAAAAGAAACAGCUUCAGCUUUUACUUUUGAAUGGUAAUCAAUAAAUCAGUAAACUACAUUACAUUUACUUUUGUUUUGUUGUUUCUAGUAUUAAUUUUUUUUUGGUGUCGUGUCAUCCAGCAAUUCAUGCUUUCCAAGUUAAGCUACCUUGGAUCACCUCAGUCAUUGGUGCUUUGCAUAUUGGUUUUAUUAAAAUUUGGAAUACAUUUUACCAGAUGUGAACUAAUUUCAUCGAGAUUUUAUGAUCAAUGCAGUCUUAUUAUACGAUUACAUGGGUUGAAUCAAAUACAAUGCCUCAUAAUGAUGCUUUGAUGGCUUAUGAAAGUGCGAUCAACCUAACUAUGGAAUGGUUUCCAAUUCAUAUAUCUCACCUUAAUAACUGAUGAUCAUGAUCCAUGCAAACUUGAUGUUUUUCUCAUCAAUCUUCAAAUAAAAACAACGAGUUUGAUCAAUUGACCCUUGCUCUAAUUGGUUACUGGGCUGGCUACUCGUCAAGCAGCGUGUUUGAAAGUACAGUUUGUACAUCGUAUGUAGCUUACCAAUGGAAGAUCUGAUAAAACUGCUUCUAUCGAAAUUAUUGUAUUGAAAGCAGCGGGUGGACUUUCAUCUUCGCACAAAAUGCAUCUUUGGUCAAAACUAAGCAUCUGCUGUUUUAAUGACCGUUGGGAAACGAUGAUUGUAAACUGGAUCAAAAUAUUCAAAAUUUGCUUGACACCAAUUCCAUGACAUUCAACUACAGUUAACAUUUUCAAGUUAUUGACGCAUGGCAUUUUGCAUCUAAUAAUUUGAGAUGGAACCUUUUUUCCGGUCAUUAUUUGGCAUUAUUUUCCCAGGAAUUUUGAAUAUACUCAAACAGAGAUCAACCCGUGAAUUUGAGACUUGAAUGAUUAAUCCUUAAGCAAUCAUGUCAAUGUUGUGGUAGAAAGAGAUAUUAAUAAAUAACGACAGAUUUUCCUUCCAUCAAACCAACAUUUGGUAUUAAAAGAAACAGUUUGCUGUUAAUCCGCUUUUAUUUAAUCGCUGGAAAUGUCAAUUUCAUCUUGGUGACAGUUUGAUUUUAAUCUAGAGUUAAUUAAAGGCCCUCUCUUAAAAAGCUGAUGCUUAUUUAUCCUCAACUCAUCUCAUGGAGUACCAAUAAAGCGUAAAAAAGCAGUUUCACUGAUACCAUCAAAUAUUACCCAGAGUAAUUAAUACUGAUGCUUAAUUCAUCUUCAACUGUAAUUAUUUAUUAUUCCAUGCAAUGUAAAAUCAAAAUUGUUAUAUCAAUGGAUGAAGUCCGAGCAAUUUAGGAAAUUUAAGUUUUCUAGUUAUUGCAUGAAGUUGAAUAAAACAUGAAACUGAAUUGGCUUAGCGAUGAAUUGAUAUCAAAAUGUGAUUAAUGAUGAUAUAAAUAUUAAACUGAAGAUGAGCGAAAACAAAAGAUUAACCUGUUAUUUGGAUCACCUUGGGUGGAGUUGAUUAUAUUGACCUGAGGUCAGAAUGAUUACGGUGAAGAUAUUGAUUAUUUACCUUCAAUGGAAUGGAAUAUAGUUGAUUUAAUUUGAAAUUGGGUCAAUUUCGAGUCCAGUGACCUAAUUUUAUGGCAACAAAAUAAAAGUGUUCAUCAUUCCCA